AUCUUCUCAUUGAGUUCCUGUCAAUUGGUGGCAGUUUCGCACCAGAGUUCACACAAUUAGCAUUACCUUACCUUCUGUUUUUACAGAGGUAUAUUUGGCUAUUUCGUGAGAUAUUC
rnacentral:snoRNA from 1 species